UAAGCAUAUCAAUAAGCGGAGGAAAAGAAACCAACAGGGAUUGCCCUAGUAACGGCGAGUGAAGCGGCAACAGCUCAAAUUUGAAAUCUGGCGCAAGCCCGAGUUGUAAUUUGUAGAGGAUGCUUCUGGGUAGCGGCCGGUCUAAGUUCCUUGGAACAGGACGUCAUAGAGGGUGAGAAUCCCGUAUGUGACUGGCUUGCACCCUCCACGUAGCUCCUUCGACGAGUCGAGUUGUUUGGGAAUGCAGCUCUAAAUGGGAGGUAAAUUUCUUCUAAAGCUAAAUACCGGCCAGAGACCGAUAGCGCACAAGUAGAGUGAUCGAAAGAUGAAAAGCACUUUGGAAAGAGAGUUAAAAAGCACGUGAAAUUGUUGAAAGGGAAGCGCCCGCAACCAGACUUUGCGGCAGUGUUCGGCCGGUCUUCUGACCGGUUUACUCGCUGUCGUGAGGCCAUCAUCGUCUGGGACCGCUGGAUAAGACCUUAGGAAUGUGGCUCCCCUCGGGGAGUGUUAUAGCCUCUGGUGAUGCAGUGCGUCUCGGGCGAGGUCCGCGCUUCGGCAAGGAUGAUGGCGUAAUGGUUGUCGGCGGCCCGUCUUGAAACACGGACCAAGGAGUCUAACAUCUAUGCGAGUGUUCGGGUGUCAAACCCCUACGCGUAAUGAAAGUGAACGGAGGUGGGAACUUUUUGUGCACCAUCGACCGAUCCUGAUGUCCUCGGAUGGAUUUGAGUAAGAGCAUAGCUGUUGGGACCCGAAAGAUGGUGAACUAUGCCUGAAUAGGGUGAAGCCAGAGGAAACUCUGGUGGAGGCUCGCAGCGGUUCUGACGUGCAAAUCGAUCGUCAAAUUUGGGUAUAGGGGCGAAAGACUAAUCGAACCAUCUAGUAGCUGGUUCCUGCCG
rnacentral:rRNA from 1 species